UACGGAGGGGCAAGCGUUGUUCGGAAUCACUGGGUGUAAGGGUGCGUAGGCGGUCGUUAAGUUCGAUGUGAAAGCCCUCGGCUCAACUGAGGAAUGGCAUCUGGAUACUGGCGGGCUCUUGAGUGCCGGAGAGGGAAGCGGAAUUCCUGGUGUAGCGGUGAAAUGCGUAGAUAUCGUUGGAACGCCAAUGGUGAAAACAGGUUGCUGGGAGUGUGCUGACGCUGAGACACGAAAGCCAGGGGAGCGAACGGG
rnacentral:rRNA from 1 species